rnacentral:rRNA from 1 species
CCUACGGGGUGCAGCAGUGAGGAAUAUUGGUCAAUGGACGAGAGUCUGAACCAGCCAAGUAGCGUGAAGGAUGACUGCCCUAUGGGUUGUAAACUUCUUUUAUAUGGGAAUAAAAUGUUCCACGUGUGGGAUUUUGUAUGUACCAUAUGAAUAAGGAUCGGCUAACUCCGUGCCGGCAGCCGCGGUAAUACGGAGGAUCCGAGCGUUAUCCGGAUUUAGUGGGUGUAAAGGGAUCGUAGGUGGAUUGUUAAGUCAGUUGUGAAAGUUUGCGGCUCAACCGUAAAAUUGCAGUUGAAACUGGCAGUCUUGAGUACAGUAGAGGUGGGCGGAAUUCGUGGUGUAGCGGUGAAAUGCUUAGAUAUCACGAAGAACUCCGAUUGCGAAGGCAGCUCACUGGACUGCAACGGACACUGAGGCUCGAAAGUGUGGGUAUCAAACAGGAUUAGAUACCCCAGUAGUC